rnacentral:rRNA from 1 species
UACGUAGGGGGCAAGCGUUGUCCGGAUUUAUUGGGCGUAAAGCGCUCGCAGGUGGUCCGUCGCGUCGUGCGUGAAAGACCCCGGCUCAACUGGGGAGGGUCGUGCGAUACGGGCGGACUGGAGGCCAGUAGGGGGAUGCGGAAUUCCGGGUGUAGUGGUGGAAUGCGUAGAGAUCCGGAGGAACACCAGCGGCGAAGGCGGCAUCCUGGACCAACACUGACACUGAGGAGCGAAAGCCAGGGGAGCAAACGGG